rnacentral:miRNA from 1 species
AGUUAAAUUUGAAUUUCUAGACAGACAACAAAUAAUUUUUAGUGUAAGUAUGCCCCAUGCGAUAUUUGGGACAUACUUAUAAUAAAAAAUUAU